rnacentral:lncRNA from 1 species
AUGCACUGCAGGCUCCCAUUGGACCAUCUGUGUUGGUUUUGUGACAUUUUCCUUAUGACAAAAAUCAUUGCUACCACUUCAAGAUGAAGAGAGAACAGCUUCUCAGCAUCUGGAACUCUGGUCACUAAAAUGUCCUUCAUGAGAAACAACAAGGACACAUUUCAUCCUGACCUCUAUUUUAAGGAUCAGUUAAGAGAUCAAAAACUGAAGGAAACAAAUGAACUCCUAAUGAAUGCAGUUUGAGGAGACUCUUUGUUUACUUUUCAUCCUGAGGUUUCAAGAAGAUUCCUUCAGAACUAAAAGAAAUAAAUUUUGCUCUACAGAGUCUGUAAAGAGAACCUGGUGCUGUGAAUACAGAGGAAGAUACCAUCAUCCAUGUAAUAAAGCUCCCUAUGUAAACAGGAGCAGAUAAACAAAACCUGUAAAUAACUGACCAUAAUAUGCAGUCUCAAUUACAGGGCCCACUAUUUCCAUCUUGAGCACAACUCACAAGAAUAUGAGCCCAUCCAAGGGACUCCAAUAAAGUAAGUGACAACAAAGGAAGACAAAUAACACUCUAAGGCUGACUAUUUUCUCCUGUGAUGUGGUCAAGGCUUUUGGCCACAAGUAGACACUGUGUUCUACUGGAGAAGUUAGCAAAUGUGCUGGCAGGUUGGUUCAUUCAGAUGUCAUCAUCUUCCUUUUUGUAUGUAUCAUGUUUCUGUUUCCAAAAAAGGAGCGGUAAUCUGCACUGAUGGCUGGACUUCCAUCCUCAACAGGAAGUUACCUCCGCUUUUUCCAGGAUGUGGUGAGUCCAGCAGUCUUCAGUUACCACUUGUAGACCUCCAGACCUCUCUGUGGUAA